UACGUAGGGGGCUAGCGUUGUCCGGAUUUAUUGGGCGUAAAGAGCGUGUAGGCGGCCAGGUAGGUCCGUUGUGAAAACUCGAGGCUCAACCUCGAGACGUCGGCGGAAACCCUCUGGCUAGAGUCCGGAAGAGGAGAGUGGAAUUCCACGUGUAGCGGUGAAAUGCGUAGAGAUGUGGAGGAACACCAGUGGCGAAGGCGACUCUUUGGCCUGUAACUGACGCUGAGGCGCGAAAGCGUGGGGAGCAAACAGG
rnacentral:rRNA from 1 species